rnacentral:rRNA from 1 species
GGGGAAUAUUGGACAAUGGGCGCAAGCCUGAUCCAGCAACGCCGCGUGGAGGACGAAGGUCUUCGGAUUGUAAACUCCUGUCAGAUGGGACGAAAAGGCGCGCGCUAACAGUGCGCGUCUCUGACGGUACCAUCAGAGGAAGCCACGGCUAACUCUGUGCCAGCAGCCGCGGUAAUACAGAGGUGGCAAGCGUUAUUCGGAAUUAUUGGGCGUAAAGGGCGCGUAGGCGGCCUGGUAAGUCAAAGGUGAAAUCCCUCGGCUCAACCGAGGACGUGCCUUUGAUACUGCCGGGCUUGAGGCCGGGAGAGGGUAGUGGAAUUCCCAGUGUAGCGGUGAAAUGCGUAGAUAUUGGGAGGAACACCAGUGGCGAAGGCGGCUACCUGGACCGGUUCUGACGCUGAGGCGCGAAAGUGUGGGGAGCAAAC